AUUCCUACGGGAGGCAGCAGUGGGGGAUAUUGCACAAUGGGGGAAACCCUGAUGCAGCGACGCCGCGUGUGGGAAGACGGUCCUCUGGAUUGUAAACCACUGUCCCCAGGGACGAAAAUGACGGUACCUGGGGAGGAAGCUCCGGCUAACUACGUGCCAGCAGCCGCGGUAAUACGUAGGGAGCGAGCGUUAUCCGGAAUUAUUGGGUGUAAAGGGUGCGUAGACGGAAGAACAAGUUGGUUGUGAAAUCCCUCGGCUCAACUGAGGAACUGCAACCAAAACUAUUCUCCUUGAGUGUCGGAGAG
rnacentral:rRNA from 1 species